CCUCCCCCCGGCGUCGCACUCCCUCAGCGGCGGCGUUGGCCGAGCUAUGGCCGGUAGGAGCCCCGCGGGGGAGGGGCCGGGGCCAGGCCCUGAGGGGUGAGCGGGGGCAGCGGCCGCUGCCCUGGCGGGGGCCGCCCUGGCACACAGCGCGGCAGCUGCGCCUUGGCGCCGCUUGUUGAGCGCCCCCAGCCUCGUUAACUCGGGCCUGCAAACGAAUACAGGAAUGAAAACAGAGGCAUCCAAACCUUGAGCCAUUUAGAAAAGGAAGAAGCCAAAGCCCAUGCCAGAGGUCCGACUGCUGAGUUUACUUAUAGCUUCAGGUCAGUUUCAUGGGGUUUGGUCUGCGGGGAGGAUUUUUGGAGAAGCAUUUGAAUAGCUGGAUGCUUCAGCACUGCGCCUGCGACCUGAGCGAGGUUUGCUGCUUGCCAGUAUUCCUGGAACGACACACAGGCUCUGUCUGGAGUCAGGCCAGGACGUUAGAUGAAACUGCUUUUGUGACACUUCUGCUCUUGAUGACUGGAGGACAAAUUUCCCAGUGUGUCCCUCUGCAGCAAUCAAGUCUGUUGACCAUGAACCCCUGCCGGCCUCUGCUGAGGAGAGAGUUACAGUCCAGCUGGAAUAGUUCGGUGGGACAUGCCCAGUUAGUAGUGAUGUGAAAAUGCAGCUCCACUGCUAACUGCUGGCUGUAGUACUGUCCCACAAGGACCCAUGCUUUUCUCUUUUUUUGCUGAUCCAGUCAGACACAAAGUCAUUAAGGUUUGGGAAACACCACUUAAGUCCAGACCUCUUCAAGAACACAAGCUCAUUGAGUCAUACCCUCCUCUCAAGUUCUAAACAAAUAUAUAGUCAAGUUCAAAGUCUGCGUCUUUUAAAGACUUAGUAGCCUGGAUCAAAAAGAUCUGAAAAUAUCACCUAUUAAACACCAUCUAAAUCAUAAGAGGGCAUCUUCAUUUCCCACUGCGGUGAAAGAUCAGGUGGGAAGAUGUGACUCUCUGAUAUCCUCCUACAGUGUCGUAAGCAUUGGUCAGUGUCUCUCUGAAAUACAGCAAAAAAUUUCCUCACCUAGGAACAGUAGCGCUUUCCUUACUGAGAUGCCAAGCAUCUGCCGCUUUCCUCGAACUUCGCAAGAGCAGGGGAUAUUCACUGCCUCUGGAAAAUAGCUCCCUCAUGACUAAAGCAAGGGAGCACAGUGGUUCACCAGCAGGGUCGGGACUGACCUUCGGGGGUUUCUGCUUUCCCAUCCCACUCAUUGGCCACUAAGUAAUGGAGGGCUCAAUGUGAUGGCAGAAUAGCAUGGCUAUUGGUGCAGUAUAUAAUCAUUCUCUCCCCUUCUUAUACACACAUACACAAGUACAUAUUUCUAUCUUCUUUUUUGUCUAAAGCCAUAUACUUUCUAAAGAGCUUUAAAAAUGUGAAGUGAAUUCUGAAUAAAGAGGUGAAAAGAAA